CAGCGGCAAACGUCAUUCAUAUCCUUCUUCGUUGCUGCGCCACCAACAUCAACUCAUCCCUCCUCUGCACGUUGGGUUUGGCGUUUUCGCCGGUCGUGCUCAGAAAGGCCGUUUCACAAUUCUGUUGCCUUCCCCUCCCUCCCCCCACGCCUUUCCUUACCGGUCGCCCCCGCAACGGUAUCGAGUCGCACUCACAAGCACCCCACCCCGCCCUCACUACUCCGCCUGAGAAACGUCGAGACCUAAAACUCAGACAAAGACACGCUGCGUGCGGUUGCCUCCUUGUGCCUCCCUGCUCUCUGCUGUGUUUCAUCUUUCCGGUUGCGCGCCAGAGAGCAUCGGCUGAGCGGCCAUGUCAGCUCAUUCGACUGAGGAGCACGGUGUUCUGCUGCCCGGUAUACAGUCACAGCGUCACGAACAGGGAGCACAGCAGCAGACCGAACCCGAUGCAUCAAGCGUUCCGACAGAGAUGCGCUUCGGCCAAGCUGCCUCGCUAUCACCGGCGGCAAAACGCUACCGCCUUGAGAAGCAGGCACGGAAGGAAGUCACAGCGGAUGCUACGAGCGUGAUCGAUCUCAAUGAGGACGCAGACGUUGAAAGUGCCGCUCGUGUCUCGGCGACGGUUGCACUCCAAGACGACCUCGCCAGCCCCGCGGACGCGCUUCUCGGGGGGGCUGACGGCAGCGUUGAUGUAUCCGGCAGCACCUUUUGUGUUGAGGCUGAUGUGACAGGCGUGAGUGACGAGACGCUUACGGGGUUUGACCGCGCCACUGGCCCCGCGUGUGCAGAGAAGGGCGCAGCCACGCCCUCAGUGCACGAGCAGGAGACGUUGAGCCACAAGCAGCCCCCGCAAGCGAUGCCUUACACAGAGUGCGAAGAUACGCCGGCGCAGCCUUUGCCAAUGGAGGACGGCAAUGCAGCAGCCCCUCCGGUUUGCCUGAGCAUAGAUGAGGAGGGGGCCGUCGCAUCGCCGCCGUCUGCGCUCGCAGUAACGCCCGCGCACUUAUCACAGGCUGAUAAGAAGACUGCGAGCGGCGUCACUGCGCUCAACUCCGGCACCCUUGGCGGCAACAGUGCUCCCCGCUGCCACGCUGAGGGAGAGGUGAGCAGCGCCACCGAGGCCGAGCCCACCACGGAUAACGUGGCGACAACUGAAAUUCCUUCGCCGAUCCCAGAGGACGGUGAGAACGGCUGUCUAUCACCCUCACGUCUUUCGGAGGCGGCUACACCACCGCCGUCAGUGGCCGCUGUCGACGAGCGCCCCAAGGCGGCAGGCAAGCAUCUCACGUUUGCCGACGACGCGGCGCCACAGCCGUCCAUGGCGCGAUCCUCGCCGCCAUGAGCAGAUCGCGUCUACUCACGCCCUCCUCUCAUCUUGUUGGUUUGAUAUCUUAUUUCUUUUUUUUUGUUUGCUUCCCAACUCCCUCUUGCGCUUCCUCGGAGAGCUGCGGUGUACGCAUAGCCACGCACACACAGAGCUAGACAGCUCACACGGAAAUAGAGACGCAAGCCGGCGCACAAACGUUCAGGCACCGCGCGAGGGAACUGAGGCGAUGGCGUAUGCGCUUGUGUGGUUGUCGGUUGGUGCGCGUGCUGCGUCCUCUGCGCCGCCCAGGAUAGUCCAGCUCAGAUUCUUCCGUUUCUUUUUUUUCCUUUUUGUCGAAUGGCGUGGGUGUCUUCUUUCGCUCACUCUUCCUCUGCUCUGAAGUAUGUGCGCACAGUGCGUAGAUGCAUACCCACCUGUACCGUCGUGUGUGCAGAGGGGAGGGAGGGAGUUGGGGGAGGGGCGUGUGUUCCCCGGUUCUUGUGUCGCUCUGGCGCCGUUUUAGGUUUGUACGACACAGAACAGCGUUCGGAUCUCCCUCUCCUCACCGUUCCCCGAUGAAAAAAGGGAGGAACGCUCAACAGAUGCGCGCACGCACGCAAAACAGAUGGAAAGAAAGAUGCAUGACACUGGCGUGAUGGUUCGCUUUUCUGUUCACAGAAGCGGAACACGUUGGGUUUAUCGUGUAUUUCUUCGAAUCCCCCCCCCUUCCCUCUACCACUCCCCUUUCCAUCUCUUCUACACAGAAACUCAACUUUUCGAAGAAUCUCAGCUCCUCAG
rnacentral:misc_RNA from 1 species